CGCCGCCCGCCGGGGGCUCGCGCCAGCCACGAGGGAGCGUCCGCGGCUCGCGCGCCCGCGCCGUGGAGGAGAGGUUUUAAGUAUGAUGUUUCCGUAAUACAUUUGGAUGUUUUCAGCUAAGCUCACUUCUGAACUAUGGGGUUCCUCCAAAUGUUGACUGAAAUUUGUCCUUGUACAUCCCCAGGCUCAUCUGCAAAAUCUACAGUCCAUAAUGGAGCUACUGUACUGGCUAUUGGAAGAAGGAGAUUCUGAAGAUAGGGAGGAGUCUUUUUAUUCAAAACACCUUGCAAACUCCAUGCAUAAAAAUAGAAGGCAGCUUCCACUUGCAGGCUUCUGAAGCUGGAGAAGAUGUGUUUUUCAUGUGAAGGAACUUGAGUCCCAGGAAGAUGAAAUGCCUUGCUACUAAGUGGAAAUUUGUGGAGAGUUGGACUAAAUCUCAAGAUCCCUUCAAGUCUAAAGAAGAUUCUACAAAUACUAACAACCACGAAAUGAAAGGAACGCAAGUCCAGUGGUGGAUUUUUUGCAGACUUUAGCAGCGGUCUUGGGACAGAGUGAAAGUAGACGCACAUUGUCAAUCUACCAUCUUUACCUGGAAGUCAAGUGUGAAUUUCAUUAUUUAAAUUAAGAUUAAGAUAAACGGAGGCACAGAAGGUUAAGUAAUUUUUCCAAAGAUUCAGAAAUAGAAAAUGACAGAACUUGGCUCCUUAACCACUAUAUGUAUUCUGACUACCUCCAACAAAUUGGAAGAUGGUGGCUUUUAGGGAACAAAGUUUGUCCUGCUGAUACACCAGGUCUUUAAUGAUGUCAAUAAAGAAACAGCCCACCCUUUGGUUAAAAGACUCUGAGCCUUCAAGGACCACUGGUUGUCCAGAGGAAGCCAUGGUUAUUCUGGUGAAGCACGAGGCCACGGUCGUUUUGAUCAGUCACUCAAUGGAGGGUCCAAAGCUUAAGCGGAAUAAACUCAGGACAGACAGCACUGGAAUUCUAGGAGUGUAACCUCACCAGCAGAUGAGGUAGUGAUGGAUGACUCCUGAUUGUGGAGUCCUUUUCAUCUCUCAAUUUAUAUUCUGAGUUGUUACCUAGAAUAAAUCCUACUGUUUCUAAUUAA